GAGGCUGUGAUGAAGGUUGAUAAGUGCUU
rnacentral:piRNA from 1 species